CGCUGAUCGACAAUGCCAUGACCAAGAAGCCUCAGGUGGUGCAGAUCGAGCCCACCGACAAGGCCUUCAAGACCAGCGGCUGCCAGCCUUGGCAGCCGUCGAGUGACGCCCCUUCCUCUGGGCUUCCCGGACCCGUUGCGGGGGCGCAGCUGCAAACCAGCCUCGGCAUCCUCAACGGGCUGCUGGCUCCCAACGGACAACGCGUU
rnacentral:ncRNA from 1 species